rnacentral:rRNA from 1 species
GAUGAACGCUGGCGGCGUGCCUAAUACAUGCAAGUCGAGCGAACCACUUCGGUGGUGAGCGGCGAACGGGUGAGUAACACGUAGGUUAUCUGCCCAUCAGACGGGGACAACGAUUGGAAACGAUCGCUAAUACCGGAUAGGACGAAAGUUUAAAGGUGCUUCGGCACCACUGAUGGAUGAGCCUGCGGCGCAUUAGCUAGUUGGUAGGGUAAAGGCCUACCAAGGCGACGAUGCGUAGCCGACCUGAGAGGGUGAACGGCCACACUGGGACUGAGACACGGCCCAGACUCCUACGGGAGGCAGCAGUAGGGAAUCUUCGGCAAUGGGCGAAAGCCUGACCGAGCAACGCCGCGUGAAUGAUGAAGGCCUUCGGGUUGUAAAAUUCUGUUAUAAGGGAAGAAUAGCUCUAGUAGGAAAUGGCUAGAGUGUGACGGUACCUUAUGAGAAAGCCACGGCUAACUACGUGCCAGCAGCCGCGGUAAUACGUAGGUGGCGAGCGUUAUCCGGAAUUAUUGGGCGUAAAGAGCGCGCAGGUGGUUGAUUAAGUCUGAUGUGAAAGCCCACGGCUUAACCGUGGAGGGUCAUUGGAAACUGGUCAACUUGAGUGCAGAAGAGGGAAGUGGAAUUCCAUGUGUAGCGGUGAAAUGCGUAGAGAUAUGGAGGAACACCAGUGGCGAAGGCGGCUUCCUGGUCUGUAACUGACACUGAGGCGCGAAAGCGUGGGGAGCAAACAGGAUUAGAUACCCUGGUAGUCCACGCCGUAAACGAUGAGUGCUAAGUGUUGGGGGUCGAACCUCAGUGCUGAAGUUAACGCA